rnacentral:rRNA from 1 species
UACGUAGGGUCCAAGCGUUGUCCGGAUUUAUUGGGCGUAAAGAGCUCGUAGGCGGUUCGGUAAGUCGGAUGUGAAAACUCAGGGCUCAACCCGGAGACGCCAUCCGAUACUGCUGUGACUGGAGUCUGGUAGGGGAUCACGGAAUACCUGGUGUAGCGGUGAAAUGCGCAGAUAUCAGGUGGAACACCGAUGACGAAGGCAGUGAUCUGGGCCAGUACUGACGCUGAGGAGCGAAAGCGUGGGGAGCAAACAGG